rnacentral:rRNA from 1 species
AGAUUGAACGCUGGCGGCAUGCUUUACACAUGCAAGUCGAACGGCAGCGCGGGGCAACCUGGCGGCGAGUGGCGAACGGGUGAGUAAUAUAUCGGAACGUACCCAAGAGUGGGGGAUAACGUAGCGAAAGUUACGCUAAUACCGCAUACGAUCUAAGGAUGAAAGCAGGGGGACCGCAAGGCCUUGUGCUCCUGGAGCGGCCGAUAUCUGAUUAGCUAGUUGGUAGGUAAAGGCCUACCAAGGCUACGAUCCGUAACUGGUCUGAGAGGAUGAUCAGUCACACUGGAACUGAGACACGGUCCAGACUCCUACGGGAGCAGCAGUGGGGAAUAUUGGACAAUGGGCGAAAGCCUGAUCCAGCCAUGCCGCGUGUGUGAAGAAGGUCUUCGGAUUGUAAAGCACUUUAAGUUGGAGGAAGGCAUUAACCUAAUACGUUAGUGUUUUGACGUUACCGACAGAAUAAGCACCGGCUAACUCUGUCGCCAGCAGCCGA